rnacentral:misc_RNA from 1 species
GAAAUGCGAUAACUAAUGUGAAUUGCAGAAUUCAGUGAAUCAUCGAGUCUUUGAACGCACAUUGCGCCCCCUGGUAUUCCGGGGGGCAUGCCUGUCCGAGCGUCAUUGCUGCCCUCAAGCCCGGCUUGUGUGUUGGGCCCUCAUCCCCCGGCUCCCGGGGGACGGGCCCGAAAGGCAGCGGCGGCACCGCGUCCGGUCCUCGAGCGUAUGGGGCUUCGUCUUCCGCUCCGUAGGCCCGGCCGGCGCCCGCCGACGCAUUUAUUUGCAACUUGUUUUUUUCCAGGUUGACCUCGGAUCAGGUAGGGAUACCCGCUGAACUUAAGC